GACUAAAAGCCGAAGGUACGCGAGAGGAAACCAGCUCUCCUGGUUGGUCCAGGAACCUGUCCCUGGAGUCUGAUAAAGAUCCAUGGACUGCCGGUGGAGCUGCAUAGCGGAGGGCUUGCUUAGUGUUCACCAGGCCCUAGGUUUGGCUGUAAGCAGCGCCACAAGACAGACAAAACUCAUAACCAAACCAGGACUUAAUGCCUGCUCUGAUUGAGCCAUGCAAAAUCUUUGGUUGUUCUGCCACUGUUUCUCCAGCCUUUUGGAUCCAGGGAAGCUAAAUGGUAACUCCCUCCUUUCUCUAAGGACAACGUAAAAGUUCUCAUGUUUUGCAAGUCGCCCCAGGGUUGCUGGGUUGAUGAAGGUCGAUUGUCAAAGAGCAGAUGGAUGGAUUCACUGAGAGAGUAAGAAGGGGCUGCAAGGAGCUCUUCCAAUUACCGGAUGCCCCUUCUGCCUACCUUUUGCAUUCUAUUUAUUUAGAAAAAGCGGUUAAAAACCCUUCUACGUUAUUCUUUUAAGAGGGCAGAAGACAUGAAAACCGCUUGAACCGAAACAGAAAACACUAAAGGCACAGCUCUUGGCCACACAGAAAAAGGAACCUGAGAGAGAACCUUAUUCCGACAGACGAGCAUUUCGGACACUUCCCCAAAGACCGCACUGGGACAGACGUAGUCCUUACGUCUCGGUGGGGCAUUCUACUCUCACAUCACCCCCCCCCCCACGCGCAGGACGGCAGUGGAUCAGUCCACGGGUCUCUUCCCCCUCGUGGAAGUGGGUCAGUUCCCCCAGUCCCCAGUCCCCCGCAGGAUGUGCGGGAUUUCUUUUAAGCUGUUACCGACUCACCUUUGAUCUUGCCUUUUCGCCACCGCCUGCGACUGCGGUUCUUCGAUCCUUCUUUGCCCUGCUUGGAGGCCUGGGCCCCCACGGGCGCCGAUUCCACGGCCGGCUCCAUCAAUUCUUUCCAGUCCUGGCGCGGGGCCCAAUUCCAGCGAUCAAGUUCCUCUCUUAGAGUCAAUCCUAGUUACACACCACUGCCAGGCCCCCAAACCAUCCAAUCCUGGGCAGGCUCCUCGCGGAGCUCCGCCUUUAAUGGGUGGGGCUGAAGGUCUUGGCCCGCCCAUCUGCUCAGAUUAAAGGAACCGCGCAGUGCACCGUAACGACAAACAAAAAACCAAAAACCAAAAACCAAAAAAAAACCCGCAGUCCUGGAAGCAGCGAGAAGUGCCCUCACAGCAGGAAUAGUGAGGAGUCGCGUUAGAGUCACCCCAACAAAGAAUUCUCAGUCAUCUUGUGCAGAAUCAAAGGAAAGGGGAAGACAGCAACACCGCCGGCCUCAGGGUUGAUCUACAGAAAGGAGCGUAAGUCGAGGGAGCCCACGUGCCCCGGAAAAGGCGGGAAACAGAGGAGGCCCGAGACUCGCACAUGCGCACAUGGCUCACUGUGCUCCCAGUUGCUUCUGGGUUGCCCAUGCCAGAAGCUUCUGGAACCCGGCUGCCCUGGGAGGAUUAAGCCUCGAUUUUCUUCUUGACAGAGACUGGGUCCUAUGGCUGUUACCUGCCAUUGCUUCGGAGAGGCGGCAAGGAAGAAGCGCCACAGCUCACCAGCACUUCACUACGCUGUUUCCAUUCCGCCUGGAUCUUGCCACAGACCUCUGCAGCCCUAUCCAGGCCCUGCUCCCAAGCUUCUCUACCCCAUGAAAUCUAGUCAUUCCACGGCGCUGAGGCCCUGUAGAGGCACCGGGCGGCAGAGGAGGCAGAUGUGUAAUCAAGGAAUGGCAUAUACUUCGUAAGCCUCGAGGUGCAAUGCAGUCAGCGCUCUACGGUUGUGGAUGUUCACUGGGGACUGAAAUGGUGAUUAGGGGCAACAAGAUGACUCAGUGAAUGAGGUGCGUGCUGCCAAGUCUGAUGGCCUGAUUUGAACCCUGGGACUCAUGAGGAAGAAGAGAACGGACUCCUGCAAGUUGUCCUGUGACAUCUAUACAUGGACUGUGGCAUAAAUACAAACAAACAUACGUACAUACACAAAGUCAAUAACUAAUAAUAUAGAAAAAAUGCACACACAGGGAAAUGUAACUAAUGGAGAAAUACAGAGUGUUCGGAUCUUGAAAAGAACUUUCUAUGAGACUGCAAUCUCUUUACUUUCUUUGAUAGGUGGUUGUUGAGGGUGUGGAAAAGGAUUUGUGAGAGAUGGCCUAGAGCCAAGGUUUUGUCCGAUGUUCUCACACUAAGCCUGCUCUCCCACACCCAGGUGCCAAGAAGCAGAGCUGGAGUUUUUUCUCCUUAAUGCUUUAUAAUGCUGUUUGGUGACUUCAUCCUCCUCCUCCUCCUCCUCCUCCUUCUUCUUUUUUAAUCCUACUUCCGUAGAUACUUAUUUAGUUUGCUGUCACUUAAUAAAAUGAAGAAGGGCAGGGUAAAUAAAAACUUCCUGGACCUC
ensembl:antisense